rnacentral:tRNA from 1 species
ACAGAGAAUAGUUAUUUUCAUAAAUGCCUAAUUUUGGAAAUUUGAACACGUGCCAUGAAUAUCUGUAAAAUUCGGUUUACUCCUUGCAGGUAAUUGUUGAAGCAGUUUCUGUAGUGUAGCGGUUAUCACGUUCGCUUAACACGCGAAAGGUCCUCGGUUCGAAACCGGGCGGAAACAGAGCUCUUUGACACGUGCAGUAGGUACUGUACUUUCAACAAAGAAUUGUUAUUUUCAUAAAUUCUGUAUUUUGGAAAUUCGAAUACGUGCCCUGAAUAUCUGUAAAAUUCGGUUUACUUCUUGCAGGAAAAUCAAGCAGCAGUUUCUGUAGUGUAGUGGUUAUCACGUUCGCUUUACACGCGAAAGGUCCUCGGUUCGAAACCGGGCGGAAACAGUGCUCUUUGACACGUGCAGUAGGUACAGUACUUUUAAAAGAGAAUAGUUAUUUUCAUAAAUGCCUAAAAUUGGAAAUUUCAGCACGUGCCAUGAAUAUCUGUAAAAUUCGGUUUACUCCUUGCAGAUAAUUGUUGAGGCAGUUUCUGUAGUGUAGUGGUUAUCACGUUCGCUUAACACGCGAAAGGUCCUCGGUUCGAAACCGGGCGGAAACAGAGCUCUUUGACACGUGCAGUAGGUACUGUACUUUCAACAAAGAAUUGUUAUUUUCAUGAAUUCUGUAUUUUG